UUGACCAAUUCGACCUCAAAUCAGGUAGGACUACCC
rnacentral:rRNA from 1 species